rnacentral:rRNA from 1 species
UACGGAGGGUGCGAGCGUUGUCCGGAAUCACUGGGCGUAAAGGGCGCGUAGGCGGCCUGAUAAGUAGGGGGUGAAAUCCUGCGGCUUAACCGCAGGGCUGCCUUCUAAACUGUCAGGCUCGAGCACAGUAGAGGCAGGUGGAAUUCCCGGUGUAGCGGUGGAAUGCGUAGAUAUUGGGAGGAACACCAGUGGCGAAGGCGGCUCACUGGACUGGUACUGACGCUGAGGCGCGAAAGCGUGGGGAGCAAACAGG